GACGAACGCUGGCGGCGUGCUUAACACAUGCAAGUCGAACGAAGUGGCGAACGGGUGAGUAAUACGUGGGUAACCUGCCCUCCUUUUUGGGAUAAGCCUUGGAAACGGGGUCUAAUACCGAAUUAAGGGGGAUGGGCGCGCGGCCUAUCAGCUUGUUGGUGGGGUGAUGGCCUACCAAGGCGGUGACGGGUAGCCGGCCUGAGAGGGGGACCGGGCACAUUGGGACGGAGAUACGGCCCAGACUCCUACGGGAGGCAGCAGUGGGGGAUAUGGCGCAAUGGGCGAAGGCCUGAUGCAGCGACGCCGCGUGGGGGAUGGGGGCUUUCGGAUUGUAAACCUCUGUCGAUAUCGAAAGGGUAACUGGAGAAGAAGCGCCGGCUAACUACGUGCCAGCAGCCGCGGUAAUUC
rnacentral:rRNA from 1 species